UACGAAGGGGGCUAGCGUUGCUCGGAAUCACUGGGCGUAAAGGGUGCGUAGGCGGGUUUUUAAGUCAGAGGUGAAAUCCUGGAGCUCAACUCCAGAACUGCCUUUGAUACUGAGAAUCUUGAGUAUGGGAGAGGUGAGUGGAACUGCGAGUGUAGAGGUGAAAUUCGUAGAUAUUCGCAAGAACACCAGUGGCGAAGGCGGCUCACUGGCCCAUAACUGACGCUGAGGCACGAAAGCGUGGGAGCAAACAGGG
rnacentral:rRNA from 1 species